GUCGAGCUAAGUAACAUGAGCUUGUAACCCAUGUGGGGACAUUUAGAUGGUGGAACACUGGUUCGGGUCCACGGGCCGGUUCUGUUGUUGGCAUGUUUCUGGGCUGCCCAGUCCAAGCUGUGAGUAAGACGUGUGUGUCAAGCGAAGGCUUGGCUCAAACGGCUUCUAAAGUUGGAGGGUAAUGCGUGAGGCUGGUUUCACAGAGCAGCGACUACUUCCCGCUUACAGCAGUGGACGGAUCACAGUUUAGCGUCGCUCAGAACCACUAUGGCCUGCUGGUCCGAUCUCAUAUGAACCACCAUUUUUUUCCUUCUUUUGAUUUUGUUUUCCAAAACUUUCUACGCUUUUUGUUUAUACUUUAAGAGGGAACAAAAGCAAACUUUGAACAAAGCAAGAGACGAAGAGUUGUAUUAUAUAGCUUUUGUUCUAUGUAUGGAAAAUAUACAAGUUUUAUGCUACUCAAAACUGUGACUUAAGAGUCAAGGUUAAAGAGCCACGAGUAAGAUGUGUAGGUAUGAUCUCAAUGGUAUCGUUGUCAUCAACACCAACCACCCAGAAUGACUGAUUCUCUUUCAAUACUCUGUUUUUUGUGUAUAAGAAAUUACCCUUCUUGAGGCAGCUUUUACUCACCUUCCUCUUCAAUCUUCAUCAACUCGUUUCUCAGUUCUUUCACGUUAUCGUUCAAUAGUUGCAGAGUGUUUUGACGCAAUUAGUAUUUUGAUUGUUUUUUUGGUUAAGUUUUUGAGUAAAGCAAGAGACUUUACUGUCUUUCUGCCCUGUUUUAUCAACAAAGAUUCAACAUUUGGAUCUUCAUACUUGUUGCUGUAACCCCAGAUCAUUGAAAAAUACCAAAAAAAAUGUGAGCUAGACCACCCGAUCGUAAUGUUUUCUAGAGAAUGUACAGAGCUAAUUUCGAAAAGAUGUUAACUCAAGAAGAACUAGUUUCUCUUCUUUUAACAACAACAAUAUGGAGACUGCAAAAAGAUGUUAGCUCACUUCUCACGGAUAAGCUCAAUUGUAUCGCCAUCAGCAACACGGUUCCACUUGAAUGACUUAGUUUCGAUCAAUGGUAACUCACUGCUUACCAAGUGAAACGCUUCGUGAGGCAGAUUUAACUCACCCCUCUCUUGCAUCUUAACCAGCUCUUUCCUCAGUUCUUCAACGUUGUCAUCUGCGUUAACCUCUACUUGAAUCAUCUUGGUAUCUUCUUGAUAUGGCUUCACAUGUACUGUAAACUUCAUCGGGUUUGUCUUGAUCUUCUUUUCCACAGGCGAAUCUGAAUCUCUAAGGACCUCUUUGGCUGUGCCUGACGUUGAAGCUUGCUCGGUGGUUUGAACCACUUGAUUUGUUCUGCCUCCAACCGUCACAGUUGCUGAAUAUUUAGGGCCAAGUAACUCAUCAAGUGAAUAAGCCGGUAGUGAUGAAUAUACAUUGUGGACUCUCCUCGCCAUCACCCUCGUGAGCUUUUUGCUCUCCGAUGAAUCUUGAAUGCCACAGAACUCUUGUUUCUUAUCAUCAAUUUGUUUUGAUUGCUCGGUUUGCUCGUUGCUCUGAUUAGGGUCAGCAUCAGGAGAGAUGCGGAGAAGGAGAGAUUCGAAGAGGAUCAUGUAAUCAAUCUUAUGAAGAUCAUCUUCAAGAGCCUUGCCAUCCAAGUAAAGGAUUUGUUUCGAAACAGGGAUACCUUGAGACUUCUCGAUCUUCUCUUUUAUCUGUAACACUGUUUCGCCGAAAUCAAUAGUAAUGGAGAACGAUGAGCCAGUCUCAGUAUCGAUGUCCACGUUCAUCGUUGUAGUUUCAAGAUCAGUGGAGAGAGACUAAGGAGGAAGAGAGAAAGAGAAACUGAUGAUUUGUGACGAAAGUUUGUUAAUUUCGUGAUUUGGCCGCUUAAAUAUCACUAGUCAAAGAAUUCUAACCGUCGAUUUCUCUCCUUACUGAUAUGAUCCAACGGUUAUUAGUCGCAGAGUGUUUAUAAGCAAAUUAGUAAUGUGAUUUUUCUUUGGUUUUAGUUUUUGAAUAAAGCAAGAAACUUUACUGUCUUUUGCUCUGUUUUGUCAAUAAAGAUUCAACAUUUGAUCUUUGUACUAGUGAUACAUUGAAGUAGUAAAAGAAAUGUGAAUUAGAAUGUACACAGAGCUUAUAGUAACUCAACAAGAACUUAUUUCUCUUCUUUCAGCUCAUAUUGGUAUUACAUGUGUUAGGAUAUUUCAGAAAACUUGAAGAAAGACUAAAACCAAUAAGAAAAAGAGUUUAAGAUCGAUUAGUGAUCAAACGUUCAACCACUAGUGAGUUUAACAUAUCCUUGGGAAAUCUGAAUCGUAUCACCGUAAGCAACACCGUUGGUCAAGAAUGACUGAUCUUCGUGUAAUACAGCCUGCUUAUGCUUGUGUAUUAAGUAAUACAUUCCUUGAGGCAGAUUUAACUCACCCCUCUCUUGCAUCUUAACCAGCUCUUUCCUCAGUUCUUCAACGUUAUCAUCUGCUGUAACCUCUACUUGAAUCAUCCUGGUAUAUCCAUAUGGCUGCACCAUUACUAUCAUCUUCAUCGCAAGCGAGUCUGUAAUGUUAAUGACCUCUUCGACUGAGUCUGACGGCGAAGAUACUCUGUUUUUAACCUCUUGAUCCCUGUUUCUUAUGCUCCCAACAGCCACAGUCGACGAAUCUCGAGGGGCAAGUAACUCAUCAAGUGAAUAUGAUGGUCGUGAUGAUCCAUUGUCGAUUCUCUUCGCCACCACUCUCAUUAAUGGAGGCCGAUCUUGUUGAUUCUUACUGAACUUUUCCAUAGUCAAAGCACUUGAUUUUGGCGAUAAUGGAGAAUCUUGAUUGUUAACGAACUCAUGAAUAGGAUUUGAUGGUGUUGAUGGAGAUUGGUUGGUUUGAGGCACUUGGUUCUGAGUAGGGUUAUCGUCAGGAGAGAUGGAGAGAAGGAUACGAGAGUUGUGACGUAUCUGGCAUCCAAACAUAUUAAGAUGGUCUUGAAGUACCUUGCGUUUGAAGAUAAGUAUUUGCUUGGAAACAGGGGUCCCUUGAGUCAUCUCGAUCUUCCGUUUAAUCAUUAACACUGUGUCCCAGAAAGAAACAUCAAUGGUGAACGAUGAGCCACUCUGAUUCUCGAUGAUCACCUUUAUCAUUGUAUCAUGAAUCGGAUUUGAUGGAGAUUGAGGGACUUGGUUCUGAGUAGGGUUAUCGUCAGGAGAGAUGGAUAGAAGGAUACGAGAGUUGUGGAAGAUGCCGUAUUCAAACAUAUCAAGAUGAUCUUCAAGAAGCUUGCGUUUGAAGAAGAGUGUUUGAUGUUCUCAAGUAAGUGAGUCUUAUUGGGAAUAAUAUUAACUCAUGUUCUUCUUGCAUUUGAUUUCUUUGCCGCUCUCUUCUUCUAUCUCAAAUCUGUCUCUUCAAUUUCACAGUUGGGCUUUUUAUUAGUCUAUAAUGGGACUCAAAAUAAGGCUUUGGCCCACAUCAAAAAGAUAAGUCAAAUGAAAACUAAAUUCAGUCUUUUGUCCCACAUCGAUCACUCUACUCGUUUUGUGUUUGUUUAUAUAUUACACGAACCGAUCUUCGGUACGUCGAGCGAAGUAACAUGAGCUUGUAACCCAUGUGGGGACAUUAAGAUGGUGGAACACUGGUUCGGGUCCACGGGCCGGUUCUGUUGCUGGCAUGUUUCUGGGCUGCCCAGUCCAAGCUGUGAGUAAGACGUGUGUGUCAAGCGAAGGCUUGGCUCAAACGGCUGCUAAAGUUGGAGGGCAAUGCGUGAGGCUGGUUUCACAGAGCAGCGAUUACUUCCCGCUUACAGCAGUGGACGGAUCACAGUUUGGCGUCGCUCAGAACCACUAUGGCCUGCUGGUCCGAUCUCAUCUGAACCACCAUUUUUUUCCCUCUUUUGAUUUUGUUUUCCAAAACUUUCUACGCUUUUUGUUUUUGGGUUUAAUGCUUUAAGAGGGAACAAAAACAAAGCUGUGAAAACUGAAAGCAAACUUUGAACAAAGCAAGAGACUUAAGAGUUGUAUUUACAGCUUUUGUUCGAUGUAUGGAAAUGUACAAUUUUUUUGCUACUCAAAGAAAUGAGACUUAAGAGUCAACGUUAAAAGAGCCAGGAGUAAAAUGUCUAGGUAUGAUCUCAAUUGUAUCGUUGUGAUCAACACCAACCACCCAGAAUGACUGAUUCUCGUUAAAUACUCUGUUCUUGAGGCAGAUUUAACUCACCAUUCUCUGCAAUCUUCACCAACUCGUUUCUUAGUUCUUUCACGUUAUCGUUCAUCUUAACAUUCACAGCCACCGGAAUCCCCUUGGCAGCUUCACUCUCACCGGAAUACGGCAAAACGCAUACGACAAUCGGCUUCUUCGGAAUCCUCUCCUUCUCAGACAAAUCUUGAAUGUUCGUGAAUCGUGAUCAUCUCUUGGACUGAGUUUGACGAUGGAGAUUGCUCUGUUUGAGCCGUCACAGUGGAAUCUUGAUGAGCGUUGAUGAUUUGUUCUGUUGGGUUUGACGGUGGAGGAGAUUGCUCGGUCUGACCCAUCACAGUCGAAUCUUGAUGACCGUCGAUGAUCUGUUCUGUUGAGUUCGACGGUGGAGGAGAUUGCUCGGUUUGAUUGUGGUUAGGGUUCUGGUCAGGAGAGACGACGAGUUGGAGACGAGAUUCAUGGACGAUCAAAAUCGUCUUGAAGAACAGUGCCGUGGAAGAUAAGGGUGUGAUUGAAAACGGGGAUACAUUGAGACUUCUCGAUCUUCUGUUUUAACUCUAACACCGUAUCCUUGUGAUCCACUUCAAUCUCGAACGAUGAGCCACUCUGAUUCUCGACGAACAACUUCACAAUUGUAUUGAGUAGUGUUUCAAGAUUAAUGGAGACUGUUGAAGAAAAAAGAGAGAAAGUGAUGACUUGUAAAGAAAGUUUCCUCACAAAUAGGUUUUUGUAUCAUUUGAUUUCACAUAUCAAAAUCGAUGAGAAUCUUAACCGUCAAAAUCGAUGAGAAUCUUUUUGCUCUGUUUUGUCAACAAAGAUACAACAUUUGAUCUUUAUACUUGUUUCUGUAACGCCACAUCAUUCAAGAAUAUAUUAAAAAAAUGUGAAUUAGACGAUCUAAUCGUAAUAUUUUCUUCUGGAGAAUGUACACAGAGCUUAAAGUAACUCAACAACAACUAGUUUCUCUUCUUUCAGCUCACAUUGGUAAUUACAUGUCUUAGCUUUUUUGCAGAAAGUUGUGAACUUUUGAACAACGCACGAAAACUUAAAGACAGACUUAAAAACAACAAGAAAAGAGGAGACUGCACCACAUAGUUUAGCUCGAUUAAUGAUCAAAGCUGUGAAUUUUGAACAAAGAAAGAAAACUUGAAGAAAAGAGAAGACUGCACCACAGAGUUUAGCUUGAAGAAAGCUUUCGAACAGUUCUGGGUAGAGAGCCGGUAUAGGUAACAUAUCCUUGGAAAAUCUCAAUCGUAUCACCGGGAGCAACACGGUUCGCCAUGAAUGACUGAUCUUCGCGUAAUACAUCCUGCUUGUGUAUAAAGAAAAACCCUUCGUGAGGCAGAUUUAACUCACCCCUCUCUUGCAUCUUAACCAGCUCUUUCCUCAGUACUUCAACGUUACUCAAUACGUUAACCUCCACUUGAAUCCUCCUGGUCUCUUCAAACGGCUGCACCAUUACUGUUAUCUUCAACGGGUAGUUCUUGGUCUUCUUCCUCGCAGGCGUAUCUGGAAUGUUAAUGACCUCUUUCACUGAGUCUGACGAUGAAGAUACUCUGUUUUGAACUUCUUGAUCCCUGUUUCUUCUUCUCCCAACCGUCACAGGCGACGUACCUUGAGGGCCAAGUAACUCAGGUACCAUCUUCGUGAUCACAGGCCGAUCAUGUUGAUUCUUACUGAAGUUCUCCGUCGUCAAAGGACUAGAUUUUGGCGGUAGUGGAGGUUUCCCUGUUUGAUGAAGAAGCACUGGAUUCUUUUUGUCUUCAGCAGAAUCUUGAUUCUUAACGAACUCAUGAAUUGGAUUUGAUGGAGAUUGAGGGACUUGGUUCUGAGUAGGGUUAUCGUCAGGAGAGAUGGAGAGAUGGAGAAGAGGGUUCUGGAGGAUGUCCCACUCAAAGAUAUCAAGAUGAUCUUCAAGAAGCUUGCCUUGGAAGAAGAUUGUUUGUCUGGAAACGGGAAUACGUUGAGUCAUCUCGAUCUUCCGUUUAAACGUUAACACUGUAUCCUGUAAACCAAUAUCAAUGGAGAACGUUGAGCCACUCUCAUUCUCGACGGUCAUCUUCAUCGUUGUAUCAAUGGUAUUUGUUUCAAGAUCAAUAGAGACUGAUGAAGAAGAGAAAGAUAGAGACAGUGAUUCACGCACGGUAAGUUUGUUCGUGUCAUUUGGUUCAAAUAUCACUUAAUCCUCUAGUCGAAGAAUCGUAACCGUCGAUGGCUCUCGUUAAUGAUAUGAUCCAACGGUUAGAUUAAGUAAUCUUGUAAAGGGUUUAAACGCAGCGUUUUAGUUAAAAAUAUUGGAUCAAGCUCUUGAUUUACCUGAACCAGAGGGCUAAACCACAAUCUGAGACAAGUACCCUCAAAUCAUCGUCAAGUAGAACAUUUGGUCAACUUCUUGGUUAGUACAUAACAUGCAAGUCAUCAUUUCAUUCUUAUGGGCUUAAAGCUGAAACAUUAUCUAACGAGAAUUGAUCCACACCACAUUAGAACCACCUAGUAAAAUUGGCUAUAAACGAUUGACAUGAUAGAGUAACCAAAACUUUUCUAGAUACGGUAAACAUCAAUUGUCUCUGAUUAUCCUAAACCCUAAACUUGAGGCUGCGGAUGAUUUUGGAUAUCCGGCUGCAGAAAAACUUGAGAAGCAAAAAGAUUGAGAUCGAGAUGGGGACGUGGUGCAUUGGGAGAAGAAUACUCAUACAAAUGAAUACUCUAAUAUUUGUAUUAGAUAACGAUGAUGGUAUUGUUUUUGAGGAUUAAGGAGACGACAAUGAGUCUGCUUCUGAUCUAGUCGGAGGCAUUUACUCUGUUUUUGUCCUUUCUGUUUCUUGUCCAACAAGUUUUUAUUUAUUGACUUGUGCAUUUGUUCUACUAAUAUUAUUACCGAAUAUAUUGAAUUGACUCUACUAAAUUGUCUUGCUAAACCAAACGUUUAAAAAGAGAAACUCUUUCUUUCUUCUUCUUAUUCUUCAUUUUUUUCCUUUUGAAUAAUUCUUGACUAAAAUAGUUCAUCAACGUUUCAUAAUCUUUAAGAAAUUACACAAAUUUGCAAUUCAAAAAAGAGAAACUUUAAGACUAUAGUGAACUUUUUAAUCUUCAGUGAAAAGUAUUGAAAUUGAUUGGGAGUUGAUAAUGAAGAUCCAGAAGAGAAAUCUUCCUUGUUCCACACUUAAGAAUAGAUCUUUGACUAAAUAGUCAUCACCACCAGUUCUUUUACAGUUACCAAAAUCAAAUCUAGGCUGCUGCUGAUCUUGACCUUGUUCUGAAGAUGGUCUAGUUUUAAAUCCUUGAGGAUGUGUUGGCUGAGGCACACGUCACAUCAUUUGUUGAUUCAGCUCAGGCAGUGCUUGUCGUGGGUUGAGAUAUGUCUGACCAUCUAAAUCAAAUGAUCUUGGCUGUCCUGUUGCGGCAUUCCUGAAUAGCGGCAUUCUUAGGUUAGCCAUUGGAUGUUGAUAUAAGUUAUGCUGAGUAGCCAUUAGAUCAUGAAUGGGCCUCAUUGGCCCUGACAUUAGAUUGUUCAUCUUGUUAGCUGAUGGAUGUUGAUCAUAUGUGUUAUGUAGUCUCCAUGUGAUCUACUUACUAAUGCAGGCCCUCGAAUCUGGUUAGCCACUGGAAGCUGUUGAUAUAUUUUUAAAGGGGCCAUGGUUUUAUAGUUAUACGCAAGAAGGAAAUAUUAACCAUUCAAAAUUUUUGAUCCGUUUAGUUCUGUUAAGUCCGAUUUAAUUAGAAAUCACAAUAUCGAAUCUGUUUGGUUCGGUUAAGUCCGGUUUAUUGGACCUGACUUUAAUCUAUAUAUACAUUUUUGGUACACUUUUUGGCAAAAAUCCCUACACUAUUUACUAUUAACAUUUAAGGUCUUACAAAUUCUAUCUCAACCAAAUAUUCUAUGCCUAAAAACUUACAAAUCGUUAAUUUGCAUUAAAUACUUGAAUUAACUCUUUCCUAAAUUUUUAUCAUCAAUUAAAUCUUUCUUUAUGGAACUAAAUUCCAUUAAGGCUAAUUUCCUAAACUCUCUAUAUCAAUAUUAUAAGUAUAUAAUUUUUCUGUCACUAUAUUUGUUUUUAUAUAUAAUUUAUUUUGACUUUAUAUAUAAAAUACAUAUAGUUAAUAAAAUAUUAGAUUUUAAAUAUUUGAUUUAAUUUAAAUUUUAAAAAACAGACAUAUAAUACUCAAUCGAUAAAAAAAGUAAGUGUACAAGGUCCCACAUUACUUAAAAAAAUGGGAAAUCGUUUAGAGUCAUACUAUAAAAAGAACAAAAUGAUUCUGAAUACGAAUGAACAAGAACUUUGAUAUAUCAGACAUCCAAAAUUAAAAUUGUUAUUCGGUAUACCUCUUGAAUAUGUUAUUUAUAUCUAAAUAAUAUUAAUUAAUAUAAAAGUCUUUAAUUUUCUAACAAAAAUAUCAAACCGGAGUGUACCGUAGGUCAAUCUCUAGAUAAUGCAAGGUUUAAAUCUUUAUUAUCUCUAAAAAAUCCAAACCACGAAAAAAUACUGAAUUUUAAUAUUAAACUAAUAUACAAUUAUAAAAGAUGAAUUAUUCAAGCUUUACAUAUAUAAAAAUUAUGUGUCAAGUAUUAUAUUAUUCAUAUACAAAUAAUAAUUGUUAUAAAAAAAUAUGUAUACUUUUCAAGUUAAUAAUAUGUACACUGCAUGUCAAUAUCUAGUUAGUAAAUUACAAUUGUUCAAGUGAAAAUCCUAAGCACAAAAUUCAUAGAAGCAGGGAAUACAAACACAAACACAAACACAUAGUAAGGUCUAUAAACUUUUUGAAUACAAACAAAUUCAAGGAUUCGAGUAAACAUAACCACUUUACAGUAGAAUAUUUCAACGAACAAAAGUUAUACGAACAGAGACCAAAACCACAAGACACAAAAAGCCUCGUCUUUGCUGCAAAAUCAACUUAAGCCUCAUCCUAAGGUUAUGACUCUGUUUAUCUUUGUUUUAGUUCCCCUUUGUUGUUAUGACUAAGAACUUAACAUCUUGUCUCCGUAAUUCACUGGUGAACAAGUGCUUCCUUACAAUUCAAUCUUCAAUGUAUAGAUUCCUGAGUCUGCUCGAUAUGCAUAAGAGGUUAGUAGUUGUCCUGAUAAAUGUUUAAAUGAUGAUACUAAGGAGUUAGUUUUUUUUUGGAUCUUGAAGAUUCAAGUUCUUUGGGUUUAGCAGUUUAGCUGACUCACAGGGCCAAACCACAACCUGAGUGAGACAAGAAAGAUCAUAUUCGUCGUCAACUUCUCAAUCACAGACUAAACACUGUGAUUGACCAAAAACUUCCACAAAGCUGGCAAUAUCAGUCGACUAAUAAGUUAUUUUUGGAUAUAUUAUUGGAUUGUAAAAAGGGUUUUAGGUAAUGAGGAAAGUGUUUAGUUAAUGAGGAAAGUCAUAUAGUAUAUCCAAAAUCAAUUGUGUGGAAGUACUUGAUCUUUUUGGACAAAUAAAUACAUGAUAUUACUAAGAGAUUGACCAAAAUCAAUUCAAGGAGCACCAGAAUUCAGAAACUCAAGAACCUGAAAAGUAAAUGGAACCAAUAGACAUUUUGCAGCAGAAUUGGGAAAAUUACAAACUCACAAUAGCUAGCUUACUUAUAAAGUUGAUCAUAGCAUCAAAAAACCAAUGCAACAACUGCUAUGUAAUAUGACUUAUACGAUAUAUUUCGUAAUUGAGAAAUACUUAAACCAUAAUACACAGAAAACUAGCUAUCCAGAAUCAAUGUACUAAUAAGUUGAGAUAUCUAAAGGAGAAAACUUUACUCAAGUUCCUGACGAAGAGCAUCAAAAAGUUCUCUUUUAGUCUGUUUCUCAGUACUAAUAGUGUGUUAAGAACUUUACUCUCUCCUCUGCCAUUUUAAUCGUUGUGCUCUUUAACUUUUAGGCUUUGAACUGCUUGAUGAUUCUUAAUCGGAGAGCAUCGAUAGUACCAGCAUUCAUAAGAUGUUCAAGAACGUCUUCCGGUUUAAAUGGCUAUGUUCAAGAACGUCUUCUGGUUUAAAUGGCUACGGGUAUCGAUUUAAAACAUUUCGACAAUGAAAACUCAUCGGACAAGGAACAUCAAAUCAAAGCUGCAACAGCUAGAAAAAAAACAAGGGUUUCAUGAGAAUUAGGAUCGAUCUGAGAAUAGUUUUGGGGAAAAAAAAAUUUGGACCAUUUCUCGAUUUAUGCGUGUCAUCCUUGCGCAGGGGCCAUGCUAAUCUUCUCUGUAUCGUUCCAAUUUUAUCGGAUGUCCCCGAAGGGACAAUCACUACUUCGACUCUAACCAUAUAUAAACACAGCUUCUUCACUUGUCCUAUCGAUGUGGUACAUUUGCCAAACAUUAACAGCUUAAAUGGGCUUGUUUUACUGAAAGGCCAUUUUCUUUUUCUAUUUAGGCCCAUUAGCAUAAGUAAAAGGCCUCUUUCUAAUUCUUCCUAUGAUUGAGAAACUACGACGUCGUUAUUACAAAGACAGAAAAACAAAUGUGGACUAGUUAGUCUACAAUAUCACAAAUUUGGCUUUGGAUUUGAGCAAACGUCGCAGCGAUUUGGCUGAUUAUGGUUUGUAAAUGAGAAGAAACCAAGUAGAAUUAAGAUUUAAGAGGUUGAAUCUACCAACGACGCAAAGAAGAAAAACAAGUAGAAGAAACAACGUUUGGAAACGACUUGAACUACCGAGAUUCAAAACAUUUGCAUAACAAGUUGAAAUUUUGUCUGACAGGUAGUUCCUAAAUUAGCUGAGAACAGAAAGGAUUUCGAAAACAUACCAUAAGAUACUGAAGAUUAAGUUUGGAAACGUAGAUGAAGUUGUUUAUUGUCAUUUUUUAUCUUCCACUUUAAUGUCAUGUUAUAUAAACUUCUGCGAGAAUUGCCUUUAAAAUUUCAAAAUCUUGUCCAGAGUCGUUAACAAGAACCAACCAGCUAUCCAUGCAGCUUCUUUCGACUUCUAACACUAAGCUGAGAAGCAAUGAGAUUGAGGUGGGGACGUUGUGUUGCAUUAGGAAGAGAAUAUAUUGCUGCUGAAUAACUCACUAAGACCAACUAUGCCUCUAAUGGGUUCGUUUACACGGUUUUGACCUACAAAUGUAACUAAACACUCUGUUAAAGUACUUCAACCCAAUGAGCUUGAUUCUGAUCUUCUCGGAGCAUAUACUCUGUUUUUAUUCUUCUUGUUACUUGUGCUACACAUUUUUGUUGCUUUACUUCUUCUCUUUGUUGUCAUAUUCUUCUAAAGUUGUUUAUCACCUUCGGAUCAUUUUGACCAGAAACAACAGAUUCUGAAUCAUUCUCUGGUGGUUCAUCCACAACAUCAAGAGGUAUGGAACUCAAACUAAGUUCGUCACAAUUAAGAUCAGGUUCCUUGAAAGUUUCCAACUUUGGAUCUAUCUUCUUCGACGGUUUUAGAGGGUUUAGAAGGUGGAACCCUAACCAUGGCCAGAGAGGAAAGGGAAGAAAGGGAAGAAGAAGAAUCACUUAAGAAGGAAUAGUGAACGAACGUAUAAAGGCAUCAGCUUUGGGAACAAUUAUACAUUAUAGGUUUAGCAACAAAAUCAAACAUUGUGUUGGUUAGACCAGUUUAAGCUUGUAUAUGUUUUAACUAUUUGGUUCGGUUAAUCCGGUUUGAUACGGCUGUUUUAGAUCGCCAUAUAUGAGUAACAGAGAUGAUCAAAAGAUUCAGAAAAAAAAAAAAAAAAAAAAACUUAACCUUCGCAAAUGGCUCUCGAUGAAUGAAUUUGUGGAAGAAAGAAUCAUUGGCUCUCGAAGGAAAGAUGAUCAGAUCAACAAAAACAAUGCAUGCCAAUCAGUCUCGAACACCCCACUCAGUACCAAAUUUUAAAUCUUUUGUACACAAAAACACAUGACAAUCUUCGAAGCUCAGUGGCUUAGAAGAAAAACGAGUUUGAUCGUCAUAUAAAAAAAUUGGGAAUUUAAGCAUAAGACUCAUAUUCUUACAUGAAUUGAUUAUUGAAUUAAACUACUUCACCUAAUAAAAUUCAUUAACAUAAAUACUAAUCUCAUAAAUAUAUAUGUUCACAAUAUUAUCAUUAAUGGUAAUUAUCAUUUAGAUCCUUCUAUAUGCAAGUUACAAUUAUCCCAACCAACUUUGUCCCAAUUGGGUUUCUCUCAAAAUACUGCUUUGAAAGAUGGUUGACCUCUCUUUCUUUGGUGAAUCAACGGUUUGAUCCUUCUUUACUCCAAACAAUGUUGAUCGUCGUCCCCCACCGUUUGGUUCUACAAUGUGAAUGUUCUGAAAUCUUAUUGCUUUUGAAAGUCUGAGACCCUUUGGUUCUCUUGGUUUUUCCUUCACUAUUCAUCCUUCUCUUUACCGUCUUACUCUACGUUUGGUCGUAUGUAGCCUCGUGAAAAAUACAACCUUUUUUGGAUCAUUAAAUUUCUUGUUCAUAUCCUCUUCAUCAUUUUGUUUAGAAAACUCCUUAAUUAACGAGACUUGUGUACAUACACAUGCAUUUCGGUCAAGGCAAAAAAUUUCAUGAUCUAAGCAAAAUUAAACCCGGUGUACAAAAAUUGUUCUAGCGAUGCAAUGCUACUUAGAUGAGUUCAGUUGUGCAAAUAACAUUAAUCAAUUUGAGGUAGUGACUAGUGAUAAUUAAAUCUUCUCACAUCCUUUAUAACUUUGGCAUGUGUUCUUGGUAAGAUGAAUCUCGAGGGUUAAACCCAUGAGGUUGCAUUUUUAUGGGGAGGAAAUUGUAGCCGACUAUAUCCUCCAUGGUAAGAUAAUUCCCCAAAGUUAAUCCAUUAAGGUUGCAUUUGAUGGGGAGAAAAUUAAGGUUGGCUUUUUUUGUUGGACAGGUCCUGGUAAUAAGGUUGGUUGAAUUGCUUCUGACCUAUGGACAUCGUUGGUCAUUGUGCCUACCAUUCAAAUCUAAUCAACCAUUCGAUUUUGAGAAAGAUAACGACUGUACCUUAGAUUAAACCACGGUCUAUGCUCGUCUACUGAAAGUUGAGCUAUCGUUUUCUUGUUCGAGUAGAAGAUGUAGCAUUAAAUUGUUACUACAUUGGAACCACGUUGAAUGUGACAUGCAAACAAUUAGGGACAACAACUGCUCUAAUUGUAAUCCUUUUGUCGGUUCGUCGUUGGUUGAGAGUUGGAUUCUAAUAUGGAAGGAGGCAUAAAAUCAUAUAUAAUUAUUAAUAUUAGAUUUAUAAAAUAGACCAUAUAGAAAAACUAAAUUCAUAGCAUUAAAUUAUGUAUAUUUUGUCACCUUUAGAUUUGACAUUCCAAAGACACCAACUUUUUGAAAAAUGUUGUUUCAAUUGGUUUCUAAAUAUGCAUUAAUUAUAAUUACAUAUAUUGAAAAAACUAUAUCUUUAAAUUUAUUGAUUUGAAAGAUGCAAAUUUAGAAUUCACUACAAAAAUGUAAAUUAUGUAUAUAGUAUUAUUUAAAUUUACUUUAAACGUUAAAAUAUUAAAUUAACUACAAAAUGAGAUAGUUGGUUACUAACUCACUAGUUUUACUAUCAUUUUAAAUUUAAAUGUAGGUAUACUUUACAAUAGAGAAAGAUAACUUUAAUAUUUAAAGUUAAACUAGGAUUAAAAAAAAAUAGAUGAAAGAGCAUAAUUUUAUUUUUAUUUAUUUUCAGCAUAAAAUAGUUUUAUUUAAGAAAAACAAAUAUAGGAAAAAUGCAUCUAUAAACAAAAGAUGUGGCUGUGACAACCAAAUAUAAAAUGGAACUCUGCACCUAAAAUGUUACAUGGGGCGGCACUCUCUUGCCAAAUGACCUAAUGGACUUAACUAAAAUAACAAUCACUACUCACUACCUAACUUAUAAAAAUUAGCAUGGGGCACGUGCCCCCACCUCAUGCUAGCGAUCUGAUGACGAUUUGAAGAGCUUCCAAAAACUAUGUUUGUAAAUUUAUUCGUCAUUCUUGAGUUGAUGGUUUCUUCUUCACGAGUAUACUUUCUCUUUCCCAUAUCACGCUGCAUUUGGUUGUAUUACAAUCUAAUUAGGUUUUAUAACAAAUAGCGUGAUGUUCUAUUGUGAGUUGUGACAUUGACAAAUGGAACUGGGGCAAGGUCCUGCCAAAUUUUCACAAUUAAGCAAAUAUUAUAUUAAUUACUUUCUAAAUUAAGCGUUUAACUCAAGCAUGCAAUUCUUGUCAAAUCAAAACAUAGUGUAAACUCUGAUUACCGAAGAUAAACCUAGAUUCGUAUUAAGCAUUUUACAUACUUGCAAAUUAAGUAAACUUGAAAUAGUAUUAAUGCAAUUUGUAUAAUUUACCUUGGGCUUCACCAUCAUUGCGGUCAUCUUCUUUAGCUACCAACAAGAAGGAUUAAUAAGUAAACAUAGUAUUUAUACAAUUUGUUUCUCUCAGAGAUUUCACUAAUAUCACCGUUUCUUGAAAAAGAAGAAUAUGGUUUCUUGUUGGCUUCAUAAAUGGUGGAACGAGGAGCAUGAACAAUUGCCCUUGAUUCUCUAGAUUCUAGAGUGACAUUCGCAGAUGGAAUGGGAGGAAAGUCCAAAACAUUCACAGUUAAGCAAAGGGUGUGAACGAUCUGUGUCCCCCUAAAAAGUUUCAUAUAGCACCAUAUCUACACAGAAUUCGAACCUUUAUCCCAGUCUCCAUAAAAUGGAAGUUAAAGUUCAAUUUCUCCCUAAAUCGAAAGUUCGAAUCCUAGGUCCUCAUAAAUUCGAAUUUCACAGUUUAUCUUUGGUUUAUUGUGCCAAACCCGAUGUCAAACCAAAUCCCAACAGAUUAAACCAAAUUAAAACCUGAUUCGAGUUAUCACAACCAAAAAUAAAUACCAAAUGUUAUUAUUUAAUAUUAAUAAGAUAAUCUAAUUUAAAUAAUUAUUUUUAAAAAAACGAUUAAAAGAAUUAAAAAAAAUAUACAUCUCCAUCGUCUUCUUCCUUCCUCCCUCUUCUAAUCCCAGAUUUUGACAACAUCACAAGUCAAAACCAAAAUCGUAGAGUUGCUAAGACUUGUUUGUUUGAUUUGAUCUGUAAUUGGAGGAAAGGUUUUGUGAUGAUGGUGUUUGACAUAUAAUGGCUGGGAUUUGUUGCGGUGCACUAAUGGAUUCAAUUACUCGAGCUUUCAAUGGUAAAUGUAAAUUGAUGUUAAUUGAGAUAGAGACUGUUUGCGAAAUUUGAUUUCAUCCUAGCAUCAAUUCGAAAUCUGGAAGUUGUUUCUCAUGUGAAUUAAUGUCACCUCGAGAUUAAAAAAUGAUUUUGGAUUUGAUUCAAAAUUGCGAAAUUCGAAUUUAACAUCAAUUCUAAAUUUGGGUUUUGAUUAACAUCAAUUCACAUGGAGAAGAUUUUACGAAUCCAUGAACUUGUAUAUUGUUAUUUAUUUUUUCAGAAAAAAAUCUGGGAUUUGAAAAGGGAAGAAGGAAGAACAGAAGAAGACGAAAGGAGAUUCAUUUUUUUUUGUUUUUGCUUUUUUUUUUUUAAUUUAGUUAUUGUUAAAACCUUCUAAAUUCAGUAAAAGGUUUAGAUUUUAUUAUUGAUGUUAAAUAAUUACAUUUGGUAUUUAUUUUGGGUUGUGAUAACUUGAAUCGGUUUUAAUUCGGUUAAGUUUAUUUAAUUUUGGUUUGGUAUUGGGUUUGGCACAGUAAUCCAAAGAUAAACCAUAAAAUUUGAAUUUAUGGAGAACAAGAAUUCGAACUUUUGGUUUAGGGAGAAAUUGGACUUUAAUUUCCAUUAUGUGGAGACUGAGAUAGAGAUUCGAAUUCUAUGUAGUUAUGGUGCUAUAUGAAACUUUCUAAGGGGACACAGGUCGUUCACCCUUAAGCAAAUUUUAGUUACUUCCUGAUAAGCAAACUAGAACGAAAGAAAACUAAAUAGAAUCUCAUAGUUGCCACCAUUCAUUUCUGUUUCUCAAAACCUUAAACCCUAAAAACGUGUCUCUCCACCCUCGCAAAUGAAUGAAAUUGAUUAGUGUGUGUCUUCACCCUAUACACUUUCCUCAUUCCCUAAACCCAUUUUUCCUAUCCAAUGAAUGAUAUUGAUUCAGACAGAAGAUCAAAAUCGUCUAUUCAAGACCUAAUCAGCGUUAAAGUCUUACUCUUUUAUACAUACAAAAACCAUGAUAUCAUUGCAAGAAAAUGACCAAACAGAGAUUUUGCGAUAGAAUUGGGACAAGUUCAACCAAAAAUGAUAGCUAAUUAAUAAAAAGAUGACUUUAAAAGUUGAAUAAGAACAUUUAAAAAAAGAAAGCUUCAGCUGAUCGUGACAGAACAGUCAUGUGAGAGUAGAAAAAGGGUUCAAAAUCUGUCAAGAAUCGUUUUACUUAGGCUUCUGCAGUUGUGCUAGUAUGGACCUCUCCCACCACGGUAAGAAUAUGGUCCAGCGUUAAACAGCUGAGACUGCAUUGUGGGCUGCGUUUGGGGAUUGAAAUCCAUCUCCGAUCCUAACUGUUGUUGGUUGGGAUAGCUCAGAUCUACACCAAAUGAACCUGACGGUCCACCUUGUCUUACUGUUGACAUCUGGCCACUCAAAUACUCAUUCAGGUACCCAACCAGAUCUGAUACUAGCAGAGAUUGGUUUGGUGUAACCGCAGCUGGUCUUAUGAAAUUCUGGUGCUGGUAGUACAUUAUUGGAGCUUGGUUUUGGACUAGAUAUGGGAUAGUGCCCCUUUGGUUCUGCUGACUACUCUCAUGUCUCAUGAAUUGCUGGUGCCACAUCAUUGGAGCUUGACUUGGGAAAAGAUUAAUGCCCAUUUGGUUCUGCUGGUUGGUCUGAGGUCUCAUGAAUUGCUGCUCUUGCUCGUACAUCAUUGGGUGCUCUUGCUCGUACAUCAUUGGCUGCUCUUGCUCGUACAUCAUUGGCUGCUCUUGGUGGUUGGUCUCAGGUCUCAUGAUUAGCUGCUCUUGCUGGUACAUCAUUGGUUGAUAUUCCUGCAAACAAAAAAUUCGGCUGGAAUUGUCUUGUGCCCCACGGUUUGGUUCAUAAUGAUAUGAAGUCCUUCCCAAAACUUCCAUUGGGCCGCACUCACCUUCUUCUUCUUCAACCAAGUCAUACACUCAUAUCCAGUUGGAUAAUGAAAUCUUUUGUACAGAUCCUCUUCCGUAAUAUGUUGUGUAAAUUCCUCUAUGAACGAGAGACCCAUACCUUCAGGGAUUUGCAUCUCUGAAUCCUCCACUUUCACAAUAUAGUCAGGAUUCGUUACAGAUCCAAAGAAGUACCCAUCCACACGACCUAAUGGGACUUUUGUUUCAGUGAUCAAUAGCAUAGUACCUACAUUCAAAGGUUUGUGAUCUCCCUUGUUCGUAACUACCAAAUAUUGUACCUGUAAUGACAAAUUAGGUUUAAACUCAAGCAUGCUGAGACAAUAAUAGUAUAAGUUCUUCAGAGAAUAUUACCAUAUUCACAACUCCAGCAGGAACAGUGGGUGGCUUGAUGCGCUUCAUCUAGUUACGCUUUUUAUUGAGCAAGUAGCUGCAUAUAUAUAUAUAUAUAUAUAUAUAUCUCUCAGGUACGAAUAUUAUUUGUUUUUGUUUAGUAUCUCUAGUACUUAUCCUCCUAGAUAUUCUUAGAUUAUUCUAUUGAAUCCUGUAACUAACAAUGACUGUUCCGUUUAGUUUGGUUCAGUCCGGGUUUGGUAUGGUUUAUUGGACCUCCGUUGAUUAGUAAGUAGAAGGGUUUUAGACAAAUAAAUAUGUUACAGGCACAAAUACACUUAGUCACACACAUACUAAAAGAAUACAACACAGAGCAAGUUCUAUGAGCUUUUAAAGUUUUAAUAAAACAAGUUCAAAGAAUCGAGUAACACACCAUUUUACAGUAGAGGUCUUCAACCAAUACAUAUUACUAACACAGAUGAUUCAAGAUUCACAAAAAGAAACUCUGCACCAAUCGAAUCAUCGCCCAUUGGAAGCAAGCACAUUGAUCCUUUCCCCUGAGCCACUUCACAAGGCUGUAGAAUCAGCUUAAGCCUCCUUAAGCCUCCUUCUGAGGCUUUGGCUUUUUUUUUUUUUUUUAUGUGUCUGGUUUAGUUCCCUAUGUUGUUGUUGUUGUUUCUGAGAACUGAACAUCUCUUGUUUCCACGAAUUCACAGAGAUGAUCCGAUAAAAAAAUGCUUCUUUACAAUUCACUAGUCCGCGGUAGAAUCACCCGAACCAUGACGCUCUCUUCUGAUCAUAUCUAGUAGAUCUUGAACAACUUCUGACAUCAGUGGUCUAAAUUCUGGUUCAGACUAGAAAAGAAAUAAAACUCUUUUGGUCACGCAAACACAAUCACAAGCAUCUAACCACAGUUUCUAAUUGUCAGUAUGUGUUUUACCUGAACACACCGGGAUAUUAUAUCAGCAAAGUGUGACAAUGACUUUGCAGGGUAUUGUCCAUUAAGAGAUGGAUCAACCAUUUUGCCCAAUGCAUCGAUAUCAUGAAGCUGUGGGAUUGCCCACCUCACCAAGAACUGCUCUCCUCUACUCCGGUCCCUAUAAUCGACUCGUUGAUAUGAAUAAAUGCUUAACCGGAAACAGAAAACUAAGCAAAUAAAACAAUGUGACAUGCAUACCUAUCGUAGGACAUUCUACCCGUCAAUAGUUCUAACAUAACAACACCAAAACUAUAUACAUCACUCUGCCAUGUAUAGAUUCCAGAGUCGAACUCUGGAGCUCCAUAUCCGUAAGCGGCUAGCAAUUGCCCUGAUAACUGAUUAUCAUUAUAAGAAAUAGUUUAGUCUAACAUCUUGAAAUCUGUAGAGGGUAUAUCCAUCAGAAUCAAGCUCAUUGGGUUUAAGUAUUUUACCUGACUCACAGAGCCUGAUGAUAUUAGUGGGGCCAAACCACAAUCUGAGACAAGAACACUCAGGUCAUCGUCGAGUAGAACAUUGGCUGAUUUGAAGUUUCUGUGUAUGAUAGGUGGUUCACACACCUCAUGCAAGUACCUUGAAAGCAUUAACAAAAGUUAGCAAUCAGGUAGAAAACACAGUUGGACACUUCCAUUUUGAAGUAAAUAAAAGAACUUACUCAAGGGCUCUAGCAGCUCCAAGUGCCAUACUGACACGGGUAUUCCACGAAAGUUUCUUCUUGAAUUCAUCGUCUGAAUGCAACCCGUCUUGUAACGUACCGUUACUGCAAUAUUCGUAGACCAAUAGUCUUUGAUCGUGCUCAGCACAGUAACCCACAAGUUCAACGAUAUUGGAGUGGCGAAUCAUAUCUAUAUUGUUCACUAGUUCGAUAAAUUCGUGAUCCUGUUGUUGUUCAGAAGCCCUCUUGUCCAACUUCUUGACAGCAAACAACUGUGAAAGACAAAAGACUGAGAACCAAAGCAGAAUUUCUGAGACUGAAAUGUUUGAAUUCAAUGCAUUAUACCUUUCCAUUGGGAAGCCGGGCCCUAUAAACACUACCGAGCAUGCCUGAGCCAAUGAGAUUUUCCUGAGCGAAGCUUUCCGUGUAUUGUUGAAGAGAAGCAAUAGAAUAGUGCUUCACAGAAGUUAAGGGUAAGCGUUUAGGGGAAGUUUUCUUAACGGGUCUUUCGGGUGAUAUGAUUGGCAUAACCGUGACCUUCUCAUCCAAAGGAGGAGGUGGUGGUGGUGGUGGAGGUGGUGGAGGAGGAGGCAUCAACAUUGAAAAGUCAAUAUCUUGACUUUCCUGUCUUGAUAUAGGUGCAGGUCUCCGCAGCCUCUCAAGGUCAUGUAAGACCUUUGGUUCCUCUCCAGCUUUCUUGAAGGGUUCUCUUUGAACUGUUCAUAAGCACAAGACCAGCAUUACUUAACAAUAGACAGUAGGAACCAAUAGCCAAACUUGCAAACUUCAAUCUCACCUUUUUCAGAUCGACCAGGUGGUGGCAGUACCGGAGUCCCGUUUUCCAGAGCAUUCUCUCUGCUUCCUCUAUCAGCACCAACUUGAUGCGGUUUGAAAACUCUGUUAGCAUGUUCUCUACGUCUUGCACAUUUUGGCAACAGCAAGAGUAUUGCCAAAACCAGAAUUAUGAAGACGAGGACGCCAGCGAAUGCAAUAAGGAUUAUCUUUUUAGUAUGUGAAGAGUUCUUUCCCUUUGAAUUCUCAGAGCUCGAUCCUUCUGAAUCAGAAGGUCCAUCAGCAACUUUCCCUCGAUUCCUCUCAUUUGGAGGAGGUGGAACUCCAGAAAAUGGUCGCGUUGGAGCUGGUUUUGUUGGAGAUAGAGACGGAGACAAUGAUGGUGCAGUCGAGGUGGAAUUGAUCAUUGUGGCAUUGAACGGGUUUCCUUCAUGUCUGCAUCACCAAUUUAUACACAGAGCAAUUAUAAGAACCUGAAAUGCCUCCAUAGACCAUAGUGUAUUAGUAAACAAAAGAGCACUUACAGGAAUUUCGGAAUGCUUAGUAAUUUGUCCGGUAUGGGUCCAGAGAAGAGGUUAUUCUCUAUGUUUCUGUUUCAAGAAGACAACAAAAACUAAGAUUUUGGAAAAGUUACUCACUGCUUAAGUACUUAUACGUUGUGAGAGAAAGAAACAUACAAGUCUUGAAGAGGAAGGCCUUGAAGAACGUCCAGAGUUCCUGAGAGCUGAUUGUUCUGAACACGUCUGCAAAACUCAGACUAUCAGCUUUGUGAAGAAAGAAGCCAAAAGAGAUUCAACAUUGUAAUGAUCGAAACUUACAAUGUUGUAAGAGUUAAUAAAUUCUCCAUAGAAGGAGGCAAUGUGCCGCUUAUAUUGUUAGAUGAUAUAUCACUGCACAAAGAUAUCAAAUCACAAAACAAUCCAUAGAAACAAUAACUGUUAACAAAACUACAAACAAGAAGAAGCAUACAGAUUAAUCAGCCCGACAAGGUUUUGAAACACGUCGGGUAGCUCUCCAGAGAGAAGGUUAUCGUUCAAAGACCUGAAAACAAAUGGUAUAAUUCUCACCAGUCAUCAGCACAAAGCAAUGGAAAAAAAAGAAUUUGGGAGUUAUCUGAACUUACAUGUCAUUCAGAAAACUCAAUGUUCCUAGAGAUUCCGGGAUGCUUCCGGUGAACUGAUUAGCUGAAAGAAAACUGCCAAAAGGUAAAAACCAUUAUCAUACAAACUGUUCAAAGCAACAAACCCGAUCCAAAAAAAUAUACAGUGUUAGGUGUAUACAUACAAAUGCUGCAAUGUAACCGGCAAAGUAGAAGGUAUGCUUCCUCCAAUGCGAUUGUUGCUGAAAUCUCUGGAGAUAUGUAAAGAAAAUACAAAAGGUUAGAAGAAAUAUCCAAUUUGACUUGUCAAAAAUGUCACAUUUUGUGUCCAAUGCGUACAUUCCCCUGAUAGAAGUGAACUUAGCUAAGUUGUCACCAAGCUCUCCUUGCAAAUUUGCAGCAUUUACAGUUCUGCAACCAUUCAAGAUAGAAUUAACAGAGCAUUGAUACAAAAGAUAACUCAAAAGUUGUUGAUAUCUCUGAAAGACGCCCUUACAUGCUUAUAAUAUCUGAAACAUUGCAGAUAAUGCCUUGCCAAGCUUCACCACAUGGGUCUCCACCAGAAGCAAUCCAACCAGGAAGAACAGGUGCUCCAAGUGCAGCGAAUAAUCCGUUAAUUGCAGCAACUGAUUCACAAUUACAACAAUGCUGAUUAAUUCUCAGAAACUCAUGAACAAAAUCUAAAACUCCUCAACCAAUAAGCACAGAUCUCACUCUAAAAUUCAGUGAGACAAAAUGUAAUUUAGAAGCAAAAAUAAGUGCUUACCAUCAUCAGGGUUAGUAGCAGCUAAGGAGAUCGAAGGAAUCCAGAUCAGUAAAGACAAGAGCAGAGGAAGAAGAAGAAGACAGUAGAUAGAUCUCUUAGCAGCCAUUGUUCCAAGUCAGAGUAGAGUAAAACGAAACAUCAAUCGAACAAAACGAUGUCCACGAAUCUGAAAGCGACAAGAUCCAUAAGGGAGGAAUUAAACAAGUAGCAAUCUUGAGAAGAGGAAAGAUUACAAAAAACUUACUGGAAAAGCAGAGGAAUCGUCAUCAACGAGCUUUAAUGGGUUGGUGAAAUUAAAACGAAUAAAAGGGUAAAGUCUUUUCCUUUAAAUUCCCAAAAACCCAAUCCUGAGAGAUAAAAAAAAUGCAAACUUUUCUUUUUUUGUGGGUGAGAAUGAGAUUUAAGACGCAACGUAAGAGCUAAGGUUCAAUGAACUUUCGUCGUUGAAGUAAAUUUUACCCUCAAUAAUUUGACACUUGAGAAUAAAGCUCGACACUCGAGGAAUGAAUCAUAAUAAUCAGAGAAGAAAACCCAGAACGAAAAAGGAAACUUUUUCCUAAUUUAAGCGGUGGGACCAAAACCUGCAAAUUAAGAAGAAAGAACUGGAGAAAUUCAGAAAUUAUUUGGGUUUAAGACAGAGUUUAAGUUCUUCAUUACUGAAACUGUGUUUAUAGAUUUGUUUAUUUAGAAACAAAAAUUUGACUGAUGCUUCUAUUUGCUUGAGAUCAGUACUAAAAAGUCAUAAUUAAUGAUAAAGUCUACUUAAUUAAUCAAUGAUUUAACUUAAUGGAUGUGUACAACUGUAUCCCUAUAUUAUGUUUGAGGACAAGUUGCGUCAAGAUUCUAAUCCGACCAAAGACUUGUUUCAAUAAUAGUUGUCAAUUUUAAGGACGAUAACGAGAAUAAUUGGAUGUUAGUUAUACCGGACGAUGUCUCAGUUUAAUCGGUGUUAACCGGGUCUAAACCGCUGGUUAAGAUAAAAGGUUGAAUGGUACGCGCGUGGAGGAGAGACGGUGAAAAGACGUUGAAAUGGUAACGGUAAAAGACAAAAUUAGCCGCAAGGAAAAAGAUUAGUUGGAAUUGGAUUCCCAUUACUGUUUUCUUGCUGGCGAGUGUCACGUGUUCUUCACUGUCAGAUGACGUCACUCACUUCCACGUCAGCUCCUCAUCCACUUCUCAUUAGUCUGACUAACUUUAAUCAUAGGUUAAGAAAACAAUGUAUUGUUGAUAACAUUGCAAUCUUUGUAUGAUUAUAGUGAUCUUCUUAUAAGGUUGUUAUGUGUUUUAGUUUUUGAUCUUUCUCCACAUUUUUUUCCUUUUCUAACUCUAUUGAUGAAAACUUUAUAAUAAUUUCGCUUACAUUGUUGUUACCCACAUGGAGAGAUGGAUGAUGGAUGGGCCAACAAACAAAUCCUCUGAUAUUUUUUGCUUGGUUGAUUAUGGACCGUUGGAAUGUGAUGUGUGUGGAAAAAAAAUAACCAAUCUUGGAGUUUUGCUGGGGAAAAAAUUAAAAAGAAUAUUCAGAUACAUCGAUUAGUGAGAUGGUAUAGUUCUGUUCAAUCGUUAAAGAAGUUAUAUGUUAACAAAUAUCUAGAUGUUUCUAAUUUGGGGAUAUUCGACAAACAUAUUUUUGACCUCUCACCUUUACAUGCAAAAUGUGUUCGUUUUUAGACGGUGUGCGGUAUUAAACAAGAUGAUCAAAAAUAUUCUUGAUUGGUCUAAUUUUUUUUUUCAGAAUUAGACAUAUUUUUGGAUCUUGGUUGGUAAAUUUUAAAGCAUUUACGAAUAUUACACUUCACACGUUUGAAUAAUGUUUUGUCGCUUGCAUGGGUAGAAAAAUACGAUCACGAGAUUCUAACUUUUUUCAUGUAAGUUUUUUGGUUGCUAAAUGGCUCAUGAGUAUUAGUGAUCAUAGUGUGUAUGAUAUUACAAAAAAAAAAAUGAUUUUUUUGGUUCGUAUACAUGCAUUUGAGCAUUUCAGUAUUUGUGUGUAUACUUUCUCUAUACCUGCCAUGCAUGUUUGAUAAAAUUAGCCUCAGAUUUUCAAAUUAAGAAACGUGUUUGUUCUGUUUUUAAUUUGGUUGGAAAUAUACUCAACGCUCUGAUACCUACUUUUUGCUCUAAUAAAGUUUCGGAAUUUAUAACGAGAUUUCAAAAAAAAAAUACUAAGAGAAAUCUCACCGAGUUCUAAAGAUUGGGUCAUUUUUUAGGCCUAGCCUACGUUGGACAGGGUAAAAGCCCAAACGGAGCCUUUUCUCCAAUUAGACGAGUCAUAGGUAAAUUUACGAGUAUGCAUGUAUGUGCAUUUAUAUAUUUAAAUGUAAUGCAUGCACUAAUAGUACAUGUAAACAUGAAUGAUACUGUUGACAAGAAUUCAUCUGGUUAGAAUGUAAAAGCAAGAAAAAUGUGUGCCACACACUCUUAGUUAACAGUAACAGUAUGCGCCAUCACUCCCUCAACAUCAAUUCAACAUUAUUCAACAUCUAAUAAAUGUUUUCUUUUCCAUUUUGUAUUCUAUCAAUUCAAUUUAGCCCACUUGUCUCUCUCUCUGCCUUUGCCUUUUAAUGCUUCUUUGAGACAUCUAAUAAAUGUUUUUAUUGUUUGAUUUUUAUCAAAAUUAUGCCACUUCUUUUUCCUUUUAUCAUGCAUUCUUCAUUUUUCAAUCGUGUUAUAUGGCCCUUAUCAAAAUUAUGUAUAGUUAUACUUGUGACAUGAUCUCUCGACCAACAACUUUAUGCCACCCCACACUAUUGAGUAUUGACUAUUGUAUGGUUAUUUCACCUUAAGCUUAUAGUGGAACAAUGCAAAGAAAAGAAAAAAAAAACAAUGCGAAGAAAAAAUCUAGUUUGUAUGCUAAAUCAAUGCAAUUUUAUGAAGUUGUGAAUGACUUAUGCAUGCACUAUAUAGUAAUCUUAAGUUCUUAACUACUUAGUACUUACUAACAAACAUUCUUUUCCACUUACCUUUAUAACAACUUGUAAAGACUAUCGGGAUUUGUAUCCUUGGUUUAAGCUGGUGUUGUCGAUGUCUCAUAAUCAUAUAAACUGAAAAAGAAACGAUUUUCUAAUUUUCGAAAUACCAAAAUUUAGUAACUCCAUUGUUUUUAACCAAAAGAGUAACAUAAUCCUUUUAUUCUUCAUUGUAAAUGGUCAAAACUGAGUACACUAACACAGCCGCCAUGGAAUCACAAAGAUAAAAACACAAAACUAAAUUUAGUAAUCAGGUUUCUAGUCAUAAGCUGAACUGCGAAAUCUCUUGAUAGUAGAAUCAUUAAGUAUGUCAAGCAUAACAGAAUUGGUCGUACACCUAGGAGUCUUAAACUGGUUCAAGCCACCGCAUUUCCCAACGCACCUUUCCGCCACUUUCCCAAACGUUCCUCGUUCCACAACUCGUAGCUCAAGCGGUCCGAUCGAGUUCAUGCGCCUCGACACUACAUAACCAUAGUCCACAAAAGCAGUAUCCAUCUCUCUGCAACAUUCUUCAAGAGCCUUAUCAUCUGCUUCUCCUCUGAUUUCCCAGUAGAUUACAUAGUGACCAGGACGAGCUAUAACGUCUGCGUGGCUUGUAAAGUCAACGACUUCAGCUCGUGUGGAUCGGCUCAGAAGCUGAGACGCCUUGUCAACAACUCUCUGAAGAUCCUUCUCUGUGUUUUUGUCAAUGUUGAUGGUUAAGAUGAGUUUUCUUCUGUAUAUGAAACUUAGCUUCGGUGUGCCUUUGUGAAAACUGGUCACUUCAACUACGUCUCCUAAUCUGUACCUAUAAAGACCUGAACAGAGCGAUAAAACAGAGUAAGUGGUGAAACAGAUGACGCAAAAAGCUCGUUGAUUAUAACAAUUGGUUAUGGAAAAUGCAGAGGAGGUUUUUCUUUACCUGUGAAAGUGGUUAGAACAAGUUCAUACUCCUGCCCGAGUUUGACUUGAGAGAGCGGCACAGGUUUAUCUUCGACAAAGUCACCGUCAAUGCAUAUGUCUGAUUGAUUCUGCCGCCUGUAAAGUGGUAUAAACUCGAAGUAACUAAAAGUGGGAAUCACAGCAAAGCUCACGUCUUCUGGGGGAAGAUGAGGAUCAACGUUCACACCAAUCCAGCUCUCGGUUGACCCGUAAUCUGCGCUCACCAGGGGCAAACCGCCAGCGUAAUGCCUCAGCUUAUUCAGGUACGGCAGCAUAGAACCCGUCAUGAUUGAGGAGAUAAAUUUUGCAUUUGGCCAAAGCUUUGAAAUCAAACCGAACCAUCCGAGAUUUGUUUCCAGCUCUAAGCAGAUCUCCUCGAUAUGAGAAGCAAGAGACGGGUUUGGUCUGAUCAGAGCCAAUACAGCUUUUCUCAUCUUGGGCAGAGUGAUUCUUGAGCUAAGAUUACCUUCCUUGAUGUCAGCACAUAUCUCUCUCCAGAUUUCUUCGAAAAAGGAGAAAGCUUGGACAAUGGUGUAAGAAAAAGCAGAGGCGACAAACUCUACUUGGCUGGAGUAAUGGAGACCAAGUAGGAGAUGACAAUACGUGCACUGACCGAAAUCACCUCCUGAGAUGACCUCUUGUGGGCUACAAGUGAAGGAUUUUGUUGUCUCUUGCUUAGUUUUAAACUCUUCGCUCGCAUAGUAAUGUGUUGUGGCCGUUCCUACUGUCAAUCCUCCUAGCGUCUUAAAUUCCUUCCCGGCGUAUAUAAACUCAAGAAUCCUCCCUCCUUCCCUUAUUGGAUAAAACCUUUAAAAGAAAGCAUAGUAGGAAUUUAUGAGAUAAUGAAGAACUUUUUAAUGGAAAAGAAUAGACAAGAAAUGAAAACAGACCUUGAUCUGUAAGCCGCUGAUAAUCGGAAAAUCUGAAGAGUAGUUUGCGCGCUAUGGCGAGUAAACGGAACAUACUUUUGUCUCCCUUCUGUUGUUCCAGAGCUGCGUCAUAAAGGGAGUGAAAAGGGAUCAAUACAGAACAUAUAUCACAUACACAUAAACACAGAUAUCCAUAGAUGCAUGUAGAAAUAUACCUGAGGGACAGAACAGUGAUGGGUUCUUGUGUAAGUAAUGGAGAAGUCUCUCCAUCUGCAAUUCUUUGAAUAUAAGGAUCUAAAUCAGCAUGUGAAACAAUAGGCACCAAGGAAGUAAAGAGAGUUUCCAAAGUAUAAUCGUCCAUCUUUUCUACAUCAACAGUCCCAAGCCAUUUCCUCAGAUACUCCACUCCGGAGUUGAGCUCAAGAAUCCUUCGUAGCGUCUCGCUUUGGACCUUGCAGGCAUUUUCCGACACAUGCUCGAACCAACCAAUAACAUCAUCAUGCCCCGCUUCUACAGUUUCCAUCCAAUACCAAGUCUUUCAAGGCAGUAUAGUAUCUCAACGAUGCAAAAUGAGUAGAAGUCCUAACCCAACAUAUAGGGGAGUACUGGUCAUUGACCACUCCCUUUGUCUUCAGACAAAAGAAAUUUCUUUGUGUGUAUAGUUGUUCUCACCUUUUUUGGGUCUCCUUAUUUGUCUUUUUAAUAGGAAAAACAUCACAGAUACCUCCAUAAAUGUCACGGGAAUUACCGUCCACAAAUUCUAUCAACACUUAAUACAGCUAUUAAUGCGUUCUCACAGAAGAGUAUCCCAGUCUCAACAUGUGCUCAAGAGACAAACCUUAACCACAAUGUAUUUUGCAACUAUCAUCCAGUGUGGUCCCAUGAAAGCCUCUUUGCCUCCUAAAAACCAAAACCCCUACAUCAUGUUAGCUAUCUUUCAACUGCUUUCCCUGUUAAUAAUUCAGUGAACAUAGCCACAAAUAUGGACAUUAUUAAAUGAACAGAGCUCUCAAACACCUAUUUGAGCAAAAUAGCAUUAGAAAAUUUUAGUUCUUCCUAUAAUGUGGCUAACCUUUUGAUGUUUCUUUCUCUGCAAAUAUCUGGAUAAGCAUGUAGGACCAAAGCUACCAAGCAUCACAAGUUGCACAAGAUAUUUUUUCUUUUGGGCAGGCUGGCUCUUCCCUCAACCUCAACCUUCACAGGCCCACCACUAGUUUCAACGGGUCUAACAUUUAAAGUCCCUUCACUUUCUAUCUCUCUCCUCAAUCACUAUGUGCACAAAAUUCCAACCAUGGUUUUGCAAGUCGAAUGAAUCUCUUUAGCCUUUUUCUCCCUCAUUAUCUUCUUGAUGGGUAAUUAAAUCCUAAAACAUCUUAUCAAAGCUCCGUAAAGCAAAGGACUAGCUCCACGUUAAUCUUAGUAUAAGCCAAAAACAGAAUUGUCACCAGCUCAUCUUACCUCCAAGAUAACCAAACAAAAAACGUGGGUAGUACAUGACCAUUCUUUGAGAAACAUUCAAACUGCUUUCAAGAAGUGAUUAUCUCCUAACCAGACGAAAACUGUUAGGGUACACAGUACAUCUUUGGAAUUUAGGUACACAGUAUCAUUCAUCCCUGGUUGGUGAACUCGGAAUUUGGGUACACAGUACAUCUUUGGAUGCAACACACAGAAAAAUCUAAGCUGUCCCCAUACGGAUGAAUCAUUAACGUGGUGUAUUUGACUACAUUUGGCUUGGCCUCCUUAACGAAUCAUAUUGCAGAAAAACCACAUAACCUUCAUGUAAUUUUCCCUUCUUGCAGAAUCUCCAAUCACUAAACUACAAGCCUGAAAGUCACUUCUCAUCCAAAUCUUGAUACAAAGCUAGGCAAUACUCAAAACCUGCAUCAUUGUCAUAUCAUUUCUCUACCCUACCUUACAAUACUCCUUGAUCAUGCCUGUUGUAAGUAACAUGUAGUCUGAUCCUGCAACUGCCCACAAUCUCAAAUACAUGCUUUGUCAAAUCAAUGAAACAUCAAGCUCACCAGAGAAUUUGAAGUAUGCAAAUUGGGUUCAAUCCCAUUUUCUCUUACCUUACGCCUAAACCCUCCUCUACCAUUCCAACCAUUCCAAAACUCAUAAUCAGAGAAUUGGCCAAAAAAAAUCAGAAAAGACCCAAUUUUUUUCUAAUUUGAUCACAACCUAAUCCUAUCAACAUCGUUAACCAAACAAAGCCAAUACAUUUACCAAGGAUAUACGUAUGCAUAUUGCAAAGAUCACCCGAUUUUAUGAAUUUCAGAAAAAACCUUCCGCCUGAUUCUCUUGAAUCGUUUUGAUCAGACUGCCGUAUCGGCGGAGACCACGAUGGUGUAGUCCUUGAACAUGUCUAGAUCUUAAACCAAAACGGUAGGACUCGAAGCAACUGGUCCUAUGGUCUAGUGGUCAGGACAUUGGACUCUGAAUCCAGUAACCCGAGUUCAAAUCUCGGUAGGACCUUUGUUUUCGGCUUCGGUUUUGAGAUUGUGCAAACCGGUUUUUAACCAAAUUAAAACCCACCGGUUAUUGGUUUUAAUUUAACCGAAACUCGGUUCGGCUCAGUUCCUACCGUUUGGUCACCAAAGUCUGCUGCUUCUUUUUUGUUCUCUAAGUCUAAAAACCUCUCCUUUGGCUGUGAGAGAGCCAACGAGAAGAGAAAAAGUAUCUUCCUUUGAGAAGUGCAAGUCCAUGGCAGCUCUCUGUUGUUGUCCCACCACCAUCAUCGUCUCCGGGAAGGUUUCUUCACGGAUUAAAACCGCAGGCCCAUUACCCCGAAUCAACCCUUUUAAGAAUCAGAAACGAUUGAUUACAGAGAGAAGAAACUUGAUCGUUAAAUCGAUCAUUGAAGACAGAGAAGCAAUCGAUGUUAAAAAUGACAAUUUCAAGGCAGAGGAAGAACUAUCAGAAGAUAAAGUAGAAGAUACAGAUCGGCUGAUGAGUCGAGGUAUCAACGCAGCUAUAGUUCUCGCCGCCGGUACCGUUGCGGUUACUAAGCUUUUAACCAUUGAUCAUGACUAUUGGCAAGUAAGCUUAGGGUUUUCUUUAUCUCUCUUGUGAUUGAUUGGUUCUUCUAUCUCUGCAAAGCUUGCUCCUUUAUGGGAUUAUACUGAAAUUGAUAUCACGAUUGUUGUUGUUCUUCUUAGGGUUGGACUCUCUACGAGAUACUUAGGUAUGCACCUGAACAUAAUUGGUUUGCGUAUGAACAAAUUCUCAAAACAAACCCUGUUUUGGCGAAAAUGGCGAUUAGUGGAAUUGUGUAUUCUUUAGGAGAUUGGAUUGCACAAGUAAGAAACUAAAAAUACUCUAAAAAGCUUCUUAAUUUGAGUUCUCUCUGACCAUUUUGGCUGUAACUUUAUGCAGUGUUACGAAGGAAAACCGCUGUUUGAGUUUGAUCGAACUCGUGUUCUUAGAUCAGGUCUUGUUGGAUUCACACUCCAUGGUUCACUGUCUCACUAUUACUACCAAUUCUGUGAGGUAAAAAUCAAUCUUUGCUCUGUCAAGAUAUGUUGUAUUAACAACGGGCUGAAAGCUAAAAUCUUUUCUUUGUACAAGGCUCUCUUUCCUUUUCAAGAAUGGUGGGUAGUCCCUGCAAAAGUCGCAUUUGAUCAAACCGUAUGGUCUGCAAUUUGGAACAGUAUCUACUUUACAGUUUUAGGGCUCUUGCGUUUCCAAUCUCCAGCUGACAUUUUCAGCGAAAUCAAGACAACAUUUUUGCCAAUGCUCACUGUAAUUAACUCUCCUUGCCCUGUGUCUUCGUGAUCAUAUAUAAAGCUUAAAGUUAGUCUGUUGAUUUUAUCUAAAGGUUAUGUCAUGAUUUUGUCUAUGCAGGCAGGCUGGAAACUCUGGCCAUUGGCACACUUGGUUACAUACGGUGUAAUCCCUGUAGACCAAAGGCUUCUUUGGGUAGAUUGUAUUGAACUCAUAUGGGUCACUAUAUUAUCAACGUGAGCCUUCUUCAACUUCAAUCUUUUUUAUCCAAUGUAUUUGAAAGUGUUGCACAUAUUAGCUUUGUGGCUAUCAUGAAGAGAAGUUUUGUGUUGCUAAUAUCGGUUGCCUGAUUUUCAUUUCGAAUUCUGGAAGUUACUCGAACGAAAAAGCUGAGGCGCAAGCAUCAGAGGAAACGAACUCCAGUUCUCACUCAAGCGAGGUUUGCCAAGUGUUCCUUUUUUCCAAGAAUCUCUCUUCAAAAAUUAGUCUUGAGCGUUUGAAUGUUUGUUCAGAGUGUUCAUCUAAGCUAAUUUGUGCCUGCAAAUACUUGACAGGAUUAGGUGAUAUCAGCAUGUAGAUUCUAGAUUCUAUAGACUCUAACAGGAGGUGGAUGAAGAACACAAGCACAUAUAUACUUUUUUUUUGUUUAGAGAGAUACCUAAAAGCAAUGUAUAUACACAUUUGAUUCAUGGAUUCCAAGAGAGAAUCGAUGAGGCAAAUCCAUUGUGCAAUACAGAUACAUCAAACACGAAACACCAGCAAAACAAAUACAGAUCAAGCUGCGCACAAUGCUCAAGCAUAACAACGAAAAAUGACAACAUUCUUCAAGAUCAGUCCUCAGAAAUAACAUUAAAAGCUAAUCUCAAGUCUUCGAUUUCUCUUCAGAGAAUCUCGGAAGCUGGACAAGUGAGUUCACGCGUGUGACGCCUUGUAGACCCAACCAGUUUUGAUCUCCUACCGUUUUCUCAUCCUCUGCAUCAGUCUCUGUAUUCACGUUACCAUAAGUCUCGUUUUCUUGAUCUGAUGAUGAUCUAACUGUGAAGUUUCUUUGGAGACAUGGUUCUGAUCUUUGGCCAUCAUCUGAUUCUACAGCAUUUGUGGCUGAAGAGAAGCCUUGUUCAUCAUAAUCCGACUCAGAAUCCAUUUUCCCAUCCAGAAACAAACAUACCACUGCACAAUCAUCCAUUUUGGAAGUCGGGUACUUCAGUUUCCAUUCACGCGCAGCCGAGUUCACCAAGGUCCUAGCCGCUGAUGCCCGGCUUGUAGCUGAAGCUACAAUGUCAACCACUUCUUCGUUGCUUAACACAUCCCAUACCUGUUCAAUAAAGCUCAAAAAUCAGUAAAGCCUUUGUCUUGAGGCUCAUAGGCUAAUAAGAUCACUCGUUUACUUACUCCGUCAGAGGCAAGAACAAUGAAUUGAUCUCUGUCUGUAAGAACACGGUGAGUGAACUCAGGUACUGAAAUGACUCCAUACUCUUUUAGACAGAAGUCACCAAACGCCCUGGCCAUGGCUAAUCCAGGUGCAUCAUCAUAAGGUAGCCAGACUCGCGGCACCUCUGGCUCGUCUUCCAUCGCAAAUACUCGACCUUUACACCGUUUGAUCCUCUCAGCUUCCCCUAUCAGACCCACAAAACAGUAACAUCCUAUUAGAUAAAUGCAUACAAGCCAGGAAAAAAGAUUUCGAAAAAGUGUUAAGCAUACUAGGUAAAUCCGGCUUCAGAUCAACUGUCAGUUGAGUUGCCACCAUAGAAUCGUUACUGUCUUUUGAUCCAAGGAUGGCCCGAGAAUCCCCGAUGUUUCCCAUGAAGAGAUUAGACCCCUGAACAAUCAAAAGAGAUGAUUAAAGAAAACAUGGUUGAAGCUGAAAGAGAGCUCUUUGUUCUCUAAGUGUACCUGUUUAAGAAUUGUUACGCCAGUGCUGCCACUACAAAAACAGUCCAGAUUAGGAUGAGACCGCAGUUCCUUAUCCAUGGCUUUAAAAGAUUUCAAGAAAGCUUCUCCCCAUAAGCCUUUAAGUUUAUCCUCGUCAGAUCCUUCUUUAACAGCUUCUUGGACAGCUGAUUUGCUUGAAUUUCUUCUGAAUCGAGUUCCUUUAGAACAGUUUUGCUUCGACUGAAGCGUCUGAAAGAAAAACUGUAACUUCACAGGCAAUGUAUCUCUCACUUUACGAGCAACAAGAUGGCCAUAAGGACCAUGACCAUCAAAUACACCACAAAAUGUCACAUCUUCAGACAUAAAAUCCUACAAAGCAACAAAGAAAUCCGGCUUUAUAGUUGACCAUAGUGUUAGAAAUACAAUAGAAAGAGUCUGAAGAACUCACUUCCCACACAAUCAUGGCGUCCUGAUUAAUACCCUUGCGUCCUUGUUGAGUGAAAAUGCAAGAGCUCCUGCUCUUGCUGCUGCUGGUGAUCCGAUUUGGUAUAGAAGUCAAGUUCUGCAACGAGACAAUGUGGUCUGAAAACGUUCUCUUCGCCCUUUUGCUCACACAACAACCAAUCCCGAGAUAUGGUCGACGCACAGGCUUCUCUCCAUUGCUCCAGCUGCUACACGUACUCUUACUACUAGUCGACACACAACCCCCCAUUGUUUAAUCCCAGCCUAGACAAUAAGGUUGUUAUAUAGCCACACACAAAAAAACAGAUCUCCACCGUUAUGCUUAAGUAGAAAAUUUGGUCAAGCCAGAGCUUUUUAUGAGUGUUUUGUUAACUAGUAUAUACUCUCCGGGAAAGCCUUGGAUUCAAAUCUUGGUCAACGAUGGACUAUGACCUAAAAGCAAUAGAGACAAAUGAUUAAGUAGAUAGUUUAACAGCAGUUUCAAUAAGAUCACAGAGAUAAAUAAACCUCAAGAAGUAGUAAAGACCAAAUUCUAGCAUGUGAUCUUAGCAAUAGAAUAAAGGUAUGUAUUACCAAAAAGACUGUCUUGAGAUUGUUUAUCACCAUUGGGGAUCUUAUUAAUCUAUGUUCUGAGACUUGUUUACUAAUCCCUGUGAUUAAAUUAAUCAAAGUAGGACCUACAAGAAUCACAAAACAUGAAUCCUUAUGAAAAGAAAGCACAAAGAUCAAGAACAGAGUUUGCUCAUAUUUCUAUUCACACAUGAAUCCAGACGGAUUCUUGUGAAUAUCUCUUUGUAACUUGUUCUUUACAUCUGCCACAUAGACAAUAUUCAAAUUCUACUGGCGUAAAUCAUCAAUUCCUUUCAGGAAACGAGAGACGUUAAUGCAAAUCCUGAAGAACAGAGAGAUUCUUAAGCAACAAAGUUGCCGUUUUUAGAGAAAAGUAAAUCACUUUAUAGGAAUCCAAUGUCGUAAAGUGUGAAUCGAGUAAGAAGAAACUAAACCAAUAUUGUCUCAAAAGAAUUCGGAAACAAAACUAGCGCAGAGUGAUGAAGAGGAAAAACAACUAAAUGUCUGAGCAGAUCAGACAGUUUGCCUUAAACAUGGUAACAACAAGAAACCCACAAAGAGAAACAAACGAUUUGAGAUAUGAGCCAUUUCAACGCAAAAGAACGCACCUUUUGUUUGUGUAGAGGUUUCUGGAGAUCAAGAACAGUUGAUUCACAGACAGUUGAAACAGAGAGAGAGAGAGAGUGAGAAAGAGAGUUACUAAUUUCUCACUAAUUGAAACACACAAAGAGAGAUAAGAGAGAAAAACAAAGAUUUUAGUUUCCCCAAAAAAAAUCGUAUCUUUUUAUUUUUUAAAAAUUCAUGAAAGAGAUAUAUUAAAGCUGCUUUAGUGCUUUGCAAAUUACCUUUCUAAAUUCUAAACCACAUUUUGUAUGAAAUGAAAUUUUGAAUAAUUUUCCCAAACUAAUCAAGUCCAUACACUCUCCAUCACAAAUGAUUACUUUCUAUAAUAAUAAAAACAAAAAAACUUAAUGUAUAGUAGAAGUCUCUUCUAAAGGUUUUUAUACCAUGUAUAUAUGGUUUAAUUCCAAGAGAAUUGAGUUUAUCGUAUCUAAUGGUGCAAAACUUAACAAAGGUUUAGAAUGUCGCAAGCAAAUAUGUUUGCCGUAUAUUGCAGAAAAAAACAUGUCUACAUGUCAUGGACUUAAUGAUCUUAGGCUUUGAAUGGUGACACAUGUCCAAGCGCACAAAACCGUUUAUAUAUCGGACCGCUUUUUAUUUAUCGUUCACAAACUAUACUCACAAAACUAUACUCUGUAAUAGUGCGAAUUCAAGAAAAUAAAAGAAAAGCGCUGUGUACUAACUGCAGACCAUCUUUAAACUAAGUUUGUAGCGGUUUAUUGUCCGCCCCAAAAAUAAUAUGAAUUGAACCGCUGACGGAUCAGUCAGCACUAACCACAAUAUCCAUUCAAAACCUUAAUAUCUUGCGCACAAAGACAAGAGUACUAGAUUUGUCUAUUUUAAAAUUUUCUUUAAUCCCAUAUUAAUUAUAUAAAAAAAAUGUUUACAAUAUAAAAUUAGCAUGUAACUAAGUUAGUUGCUUUUAAGUAUUUUUUUGUUCAUCGGAAAUGAAAAUAAAAUAAAAAUAAAAAAUUGCAUUUGAAUCUAAAACAUGUUUUCUUGAUUGUUGCCGCAGGCUAUGAUGAUGAGGAUGGGCCUGAAUCUAAGCUUUGAUUAUAUUGCAUCACUAACAGUAAUACCUGUCUCUCGUCACCUACAUGAUUCAUCCCUUUUUUGUGUCGAACUUUAUUUUAUUUAAUCAUUUCACAAGUUCUGACUUUUCAGAUUUUGAGUGUAUGUAUAUGCAAGUGACAGAUAAUUUCAUCCACUUGGAUUCAUCUUAUCUUGUAAACUUUUCUAGUUGUGUUGAAAAAUACAUAUGUAAAUGUGUAAACACUCUUUCAUGUGUUCAUACUUCGAAAUUUCAUAUGUCGAUAUCAAUCAAAUAACCUUUUAGAUAUAUUUUUAUAUCUUCCCUCCCUUGUAUUUCCUAAUUAAAGCAACACAACGAUCAAGAUUAGAUUUGUAUAGCCACUACUACAAAGGCUAUGAAUGGUAACCGAAACCAUACCCAAAAUCGCAUCGCAACAGUGUUGUAACAAUAUCAAAAUCUCUACAUAUAUAUAUAUCUAUGUAUUUUCGUUACUAUUUGAACUGCACCGCACUUUUCCCGUACCGCAAAACGCAGUCACUAUUUGGAAGCAAAACCAAUAUGUUUUUUUCUUUUUGUUAAAGUACAAAGCCAAUAUGUUUCUUCCACUUUUUUCUUCACAUCCAAAUCCAUUUCUCUUUUUCCUUUCAUAUGUUUUGUUUUGUUAAACUCUUUUCUGUUGUUUUUUGAAUUAAAGCUUACAAAUUGUUUAACGAUUGAGAUUCAAAUGUAUCCAUAUUAUUAUUUGCAAAAGUCUUGUAAGGUUCUUUUGGCUUUUACAAAACACAAAAUCCCAUAGAACUAACGUUAAGAUUUAUUAUGUACUGCCGACAAUAGAUUGUAGUACAAUAGUAUGUACUUUUUUGAAUUUAUUCAUAUUGUCAGUGUAAUUUAAUUUAUUUUGGUGAUUGUUAUAUAGAUUUAAAUUCUGAUAUAUUAUCCGGAUUAUUGUAAAAUUAUUACAUACAUAUAUAAAUUGAGUUUGAUAAAUCUAAUUUGGGUGUCACACCUCCCAAUCACAAGAACCAUGCAAUAAUGGAAACUAAAAUUAAAGGUUCGAAAUAUUUAUAUAUUUUCAAAAAAUCCAUAAAAUAAGAAAAGAGAAAGGUGUUGGAAAAUAAGUAAAAAAGGAUGUCUUGUGCUAGAAGAAAAGGAACGGCAUCAUCAUCAUCAUCCCAUGUGUAUGAUAGCGAUUCAUGUCAUGUGGUGGUGGGUCUAUUUCACCAUUCCUGUGUUAUAUGGCUCUAAAUCGUAUCAUCAAACUGUAUAGCUCACACGAUAAUCUCUCAACUCUCACUGUUAAGUGCUAAGCUUUGUUUUCUAGUUCUUAGCGAUGGUUUUUGAAACUAGACAAUCAAUUAGUAGUUUGUUGGAAUAAUGUAGAAUCUUGAUGAGAUUGAUUGAUAUGAUAUGGAGUGAAAAUCUAAAAGACAAAAUUGUGUUAAACAACUUAUUACUCGUUUGUAAUUUAAUCUCAAGUCUCAACUUCUCUGCAUCUACCAAUAAGACUAGUUACAAUGGUUUGCUGUAAACCAUUUUACAACAGUUGAAAAAAAAAUAAUUCCACUACAAUGGUAUGUUGUAAUCCAAAAGUAGCUGAUGCGGCAAAUUUAAUAUUAAUAAAUUUCAACACCCAUGAAAGUAGAAGGGAGAAGAUAAAUGUGACAAGUGUUAUAAUUUUAUUUGUUGCUUUAAUUUCUUUUCUUUUUGCUUCGUCUUAAUUAUAUAACUUCAAUUAUUUCAUAAUAUUUAUACAUAAAUAUAUAAAAAUUUAUAUGAAAAUUUAUAAUUUUUCAUUCUGACUACUUUCAUUUGAUUUAGAUACAAGAUAAAAAACCAUUUUUAGACCCAAAAAAAAAAAUAGGUUAAAAUAUAAAAUAAAAAUGGUGGAGUAAGAUAUUGUAAUUUUAUUAAACAAAACUGUUGUAAUGUUAAAAAUUAUGUAGGUGUUGAAUAAUGAUGUGGUAGAAAGAAAAGAUGAUGUGGAGUGUUAAAAGUGAAAAAGUGGGUGUUGUAAAUGAGUAACCAUUGUAGAUAAAUAGUCUAAUGAUUAAUUUUGCCAACAAUGAUUAUCUCAACUUCAGGGAUAAACCGGCCUAAAUUUUAGAUUUGAGUUUGAUCACUUAUGUGUGUUAUGUCUGCAUGCCUAAUAAGAAGUAUUAUGACCAACAAAUAUUCAAUGUCAGUGUAAUCCAAAUUUAGCAAAGCAAUGUAAAUGAGCUGCAUAUUAUAUGUUAAAUAUUGUGUGUACUCGUGUUCUUGUUUUUACAUCAUCAGUUACUAAUUCUAAAUCCGAAAUUCCAUCUACAUACGUAGAUCAAUCAAAGUUGUCCUAAGAGGAGGCCUUGUGAGUCUCAUUGGGUUUUACAGAAAUCGUCGGACCUAUUUGGGCUCAAACAUAUAAAAGAUCCAAGAUACUGGAUUUAGGCCCAAACUCUUUUCUCAAUACGAUAGGAUCCAAAUCUUUUUGUAGCUGUGGAAUGUGGUGGAUAACAAAUAACGUCACUUGGUAAAAAUCCAACAUUUUAGAUUCAGCCAUCGGUCGUACAACGUCACUCUCAUCAACUUCUUUUUCAGUUCCCCAAAUCACGAUGAUCGCUUAGUCAUCACACCCAUCUAGCAUCCCGCCGUCAGAUAAACCGGUCAUUUACCCUUACCAACAUACCGGUUUUCUCAAUUUACAAAUUCGGUUUGAUAAAUAUCAAUAGAUUAGGUAAAUAGAAAUUAAGUUAAUUCGGCACGUGUCACGAAAACUACCACAUGGCGCAAAGGCCAAAACCACAAAAUUCAGAAAAGUUGGUAUGCUUCCACGUAAUUGACAUUUUUCACGUGAUUUGCUUGUGACUACUGAUGUUACAAUUAGUAGACGUACCGUUCAAUAACGUGAUAUUUAUUAGAGAUUAUUGAUUUGCAUAAUUAGUUACAAAAUCACACGUCACAACCAUUUUUCCCCAAUAUUACGUCCAAAACUGUUGAUUCGUUUGAUUUUUAUUGUCCGUCCAAUGACUAUUUCGAUUUAUUAUAACUUCUUGUGUUAGUAAAUAGUAAUUCAAGUCUAUAUAUACUCUUAUAUCAUAAAUUAGGAAAAGUAAGUACUGUAUACGAUCAUUGUAUCUAAUAAAAUAUGAAAUAUGCGAGCAAUAACGGCCAAAUAGAGCGUAACUUCAGUUUUUUUUGUGAUACCUAGUUUUAAAUACCCUAAACAUCAAGUUACCUCAAAUUGGCAAAACCUAAUUUUGCUGAAAUUGAAAGAAAAAUAAUAUAUUUUUAUUUCUAUAUUUGACUUCAUUUAAAUAUUAUUUUCGAAAUAAAUAUUUACCUACGAUUGAUUUUAUCAACCAGUUGAACGAAUAAUCUUCUUUUUUGUAUGUUAAGGUGCACUUAUAAUAUAUAUUUCUAUAUAUAUCACAUGAAAGAAAAAUAAAAUAAUUUAAAUAAUAACAACUUUCAGAACUAAGUUUUUUUCAUAUUAAUUAUAAAAAAUUUGUAUAGUAUACUAUAGACUCAAUAAUAGUAAGUACUAAGCAGUAACCAUCAAUAACAAUAUUUUCUAGGACUAACAUUUUAUUUCUCUUCCUACGAACGUACCACAUUGUAUCAUGAUAGCCAAUCAAAAUACACAGUACUGAAACUAGUAAUGAUAAUAAGUUAGGCAGCCUAAUUAUAUACAACUUUUCAAAUACGUCAUAUGAACAAAUAACAUUUUCCGUAAUAUGUACUGAAAAUUUCCACGAUAAAAAACAAUAAAAAUGCUCGAUUAAUGUUCUUAUACACUGGCAUUAACAAUUCUCACAGCAAAACUACCACACUAAUCACAAUCUUAUGCUCAUGUAGUAUUUUUAGACAACAUUGUACAUGUAGAAAGUUCUUUAACUCUUAAGUAUUAUCGACUAGUUUUUUUUCUAGAAUGAAUUUUUCUAAUCGAAUACUUUAAAAAUAGAGUCGACGAAAGAGAUUAAAUAUAACAAAACCAAACCACGUGAGGAUCAUAAGCUAUGGACGAGGAAAAUCGUCAAACUUUGAGAUAAAUUUUUGAUUGAUUAGGUGUUUGUUGUACUUUUUCUUAUUAAUAUCCAGAAUUCAGAACCUUCUCUUCCUCAAAUCUGUCUUUAUCCUUUUUAAUUCAAUUUUAAUCUCAACUUUUCUAUAUUUUAUCGUCUAAAUUUAAAGAAAAGAAAAAACCCAAAAACAGAGGAUUUUGAUCAAGUAAAAGAAAGAAUAUUUUCUAGAGAAAGCAAAUCGAUUCUCUCACCUUUAUAUAUAUAACCUCUCCACCUCUGUUUCGUCUCUCAAUAUAUAUCCACUGGUCUUUCCUUUUUCCGGCAAAAUUGUAACAGAACCAAAAAUUACUCUGUUUUUUUUUAUUUUCUUGACAAGUCUGCAUUUUUCUCCUCUGUUUUGGAAUUUUCUCGUUUCUGGUUUUCCGAUCAUAAAAAACAAACAAAACUACCGUAAAAUAGGCUCUCUCCACAGAAAAAAAAGAAGACUUUUCUUUCAUUCUUCUGCAAGUAACUGAGCAGAUUUCGGUUUUUUCUUCUUCAAAUUGAUAUUUUUAAAGUUAUAAAAAUUUCUUGUCCAUAAUUUCCGUUUUCCUUAAAUUCAGCUGUCCUAACGUCAAAUCUCAGACACUCGCUUGCGUGUCUCCCUCUCUUAAACUCUCUCUUUCUCUUUCUCUUUUGGUUUCUGGGUUAUUUCAAAGAAAAGAAUCAAGAAACCCCUCUUUCUCUCUUACAAGAAU
rnacentral:lncRNA from 1 species